GGACCCGUGCAGAAUGAUAAAUAUCCACACGUGACUUAACGCAACGACGACGCAGUAAUUGUGAUUCGUACAGAAUCGGCAUCAGGCGAGAAACUCGUCAACAAUGAAGUGGGUCCAGAAAGCCUAUAGCUUAAUGCUACCGCCCUUCAGAAGAAAUCAGCAUUACAGACUAAAUUUGAGCAAUUCUGCUGUUGGAGAUAAUGAGUGACGCGAACCUGCUUUCUGCUAGACACCGAAUGAACCACCUUGCUUGGCUCACUUCACUGACUGGACAGCUCGCCAUUUUAACCCCGCAGCUAUUCUAAUUUUAGAAGGGGGACGUGCACGUGUUAUGGUUGGUAACACUCCAUUAAUUCGCCUCUAUGCAACUUCGCAAGCAACCGAUUAUAAGAUUCAUGGGAACCUCUGAGGUCUUCUUUAAUUUGUCUUUCUAGACAUACGGCAGCUUGUCCAUAGUGAUGGCAGCCUUAUAAAGCACGGGGAAUCCGCUUUUGAUCCCUUCGUUUUCUUAAAUUGUAUUUGACUAUCGUAGACUAAUACUCACAGUAAUUAAGUGGUGGCUAGAAGAGAUUUUGAAUCCUGGAGGUUCAGUGAAGGACCAAGCAGCUCAUCAUGUCACCGAGCUAUGAACCAUCAUGUUUGCUUCGACUUUUAGAGUCAUCACCAUUGUUUUGUGUGACCCUGUUUUUCCCUAGUGGACAGGGAUAAGGUUUGAAUAGUAGGUUUGAGGCUCAAAGUGUAGAGUAUGAAGCUUUGAAGGUAUUCACCUACUAUUUGCUGCAUAUCAUCUCCACAGUAUCAGCAGUAACUGAAUACUUGUUAUUGUAACGUUGCCCAAUGUUACGGGAGGACAUUCUCUGGCCUGCGAGUGCAACACUUGUUGAAGUGAGCUUUUCGUCUAAGGCCAGUGUCAGGAUGGUCUUGAGAUAAAGAUGCUCUAAUAGGUGCUGGCUGUUCCUUCAAAAACCCAAACAAUUAUGGCAAGUAUUCUGGAUUCCUCGCAGAGGAAAUCGCAAGAGAUAAUCAUUCAGGUGCUACUGUUUUUAUCUUUACUUUCUCAAGCAUCAUUUUCCAUUCAAUGGUGGUAAGCUCUUCUGUCUUAUUGCUGGAUUUAUUUAUGAAUAUUCAUUCUUUGACGAAGAUGAAUCCGAAAAUAGGAAUUGAUAAAAAUUCUGAGCGACCUUGGAACAAGGUAACUAAGUAAUAUCUUCAACAGUGGUUUUCUCAAAUUUAACGGACACCACAACCUUGAGCAGUUGGACCCGCCAACGAAGACAGUAGCAUACUUGAGCAUAUUUUAGCAGGUUGGCUGUUCGUCAGUUUUGUACAAGGUUGUGCUCGAGUUCUGAUGAUUGAUUUAGGGACUUUACUAUUCUGAUGCAUCGAGUUUAAUCAUUUACUUGUGAAUGCACGACCCUCCUUCAUCACCCUCACUUUGGUUGAGCUCUCAACUUCACCAUUGUUCAAUGAUAGUAACACAUCGAAAGCUUUUUUGGGAUGUCAAGAAGUGCUUGGCUAUGGCUAUGGCAGCUUGUUGAUCAGGCAUGCAAGAAGAGUAUAGUUGAUAAAGCGUUGACAAUCUUGAGUAGUUGGAGCUCAAGCUCUAGAAGCAUGGUCAGAUGGCUCCGAUUCGGGUCGCGCAAUCAUAGAAACUGUUCGUGAAGACACAAUCAAAUGUGCUGUGACAAAAGAAACUUUUGGUGCAUGUGGAUUUGUCACACUGCCAUGUCUCCAUGUUGUAUCAUUAACGUGCAUUCUGAAACA